UACGUAGGGUGCAAGCGUUGUCCGGAAUUAUUGGGCGUAAAGAGCGUGUAGGCGGCCCGAUUAGUCCGCUGUGAAAAGUCCCAGGGCUCAACCCUGGAAUGCCGGUGGAUACUGUCGGGCUAGAGUGCGGAAGAGGCGAGUGGAAUUCCUGGUGUAGCGGUGAAAUGCGCAGAUAUCAGGAGGAACACCUAUUGCGAAGGCAGCUCGCUGGGACGUUACUGACGCUGAGACGCGAAAGCGUGGGGAGCAAACAGG
rnacentral:rRNA from 1 species